UGCUUUGAGGGACACAGAGUUGG
rnacentral:piRNA from 1 species